CAAUAGCGUAUACUAAAGUUGUUGCAGUUAAAAAGCUCGUAGUUGAAUUUCUGGUCGUGAAACGUGGUCCGUUCCGCAAGGAAUGUGUACUGUCGAUUCAUGUCCAUCCUCGGAGUUAGUGUGUAUUACUUUAAUCGGUCGUGCACAUGUCCUCCGUCAUUUACUGUGAGCAAAAUAGAGUGUUCAAAGCAGGCUUAUGCCGUUGAAUAUAUUAGCAUGGAAUAAUAAGAUAUGACUUUGGUCUAUUUUGUUGGUUUGCACUCCAAAGUAAUGAUUAAUAGGGAUAGUUGGGGGUGGCUAGUAUUGGCCGGCCAGAGGUGAAAUUCUUGGAUUCGGUCAAGACUAACUUAUGCGAAAGCAUUCACCAAGGAUGUCUUCUUUAAUUCAAGAACGAAAGUUAGGGGGAGUCGAAGAUGAUCAGAUACCAU
rnacentral:rRNA from 1 species